rnacentral:lncRNA from 1 species
UCCACUAUCCUGAAGUUAUGGCAAUAAUUUGUAUAGACUUCUGAUAUCUAAUACCCAGGUAGUAGUGUCACGGAUGAAGAAAUCAUAAGGUGUUAUUAUAUAAGUACCUUGUCUAGCAACUCUUUGCUGAUUUCUCUUCCUUAGCCUAUUCGGAUCGAGGGACUCUACCAGACUAGGUUAAUCUUAAACUCUUUUGUCAGUUCGGGCUCAUUAGCCCAAGCAUGACUCUUUUGCACCUUCCUUUUUUUUUCUCAAAGAUUUAUUAUCUCACUAAAGAUACAUCUUCAGAGGUGUGAAAGA